AGGAAGAAUAGAAAUUACAAUAAAAAAAUCCUAAUUCUAAUAGAAUAUUAAAAAUGCUCUAAUUUGACCAUAAUAAUGUUAAGCAAGCUUAAUCAAAUUCAAAAAAAUCUCAAAGAAAUUUCAAACAAACAAUAAGAAUUCUUAAAGAAAUAUUAGAAAGAACACAAAUAUCACUCAAAUACAUCUCAAUUCAAUCAUAAUUUAAUUCUAGUUAAAAUCCUAUUGAACUUCAUUCAAACUUUAGGCCAAAACUAAUUGAAUCUUAAAUCCUAAUAAAAUCUUAAACUCUAAAUCAAACCCUAAACAAAUCUUAAAUCAAAUCUCAACUAAAUCCUAAAUCAAAUCCUAACCAAACCCUAAACCAACCCUAAAUCCUAAAUCAAAUCCUAACAAAACCCUAAACUAAUUCUAAAUCCUAAAUUAAAUCCUAAUCCAAAUCCUAAAAUCUAAAUAAAAUCCUAACCAAAUCUUAAAUCCUAAAUCAAAUCCUAACCAAAUCCUAAACCAAAUCCUAAUCUAAACCCUAAAUCCUAAAUAAAAUCUUAACCAAAUCCUAAAUCCUAAAUCAAAUCCUAAUCAAAUCCUAAGCCAAAUCCUAAUCCAAAUCCUAAACCCUAAAUCAAAUCCUAAUCAAAUCCUAAAUCUUAAAUAAAAUCCUAAUAAAAUCUUAAAUAAAAUCCUAACCAAAUCUGAAACCAAAUCCUAAUCCAAAACCUAAAUCCUAAAUCAAAUCCUAACCAAAUCUUAAAUCCUAAAUCAAACCCUAAUCCAAAUCCUAAACUCCAAACCAAACCCUAACCAAAUCCUAAUAAUUCCGAUAACAGAUUUAAACCUCAAUAACUAAUAAAUAAACCAUUGAUCUUAAUUCAAAUUUUGCAUAAUUCUAAAAAAAUAAGUUAAAAACAAGCA
rnacentral:lncRNA from 1 species